rnacentral:pre_miRNA from 1 species
UCUUCAUUUUGCAUACUCUCUCGCCUCUCUGACCUGUGAGAGAGUGUGUGAAAUGAAGAGA